AUCACUCUGUUCUUUUUUUUCAAAUAAAAAUAAAAAGCCAAACAUGCCUUUACUUCCCUGUUCAUACAAUCCAUAUCUAUUUUUUUUACUUUUCUUCUCAUAUCACAUACCACAACCAUUAACCAUGUUUCUCUCUCAUUUUAAGGAGUCUAUACUUCAUAUCAUGGGACACACAUCAAGAAGAAGAACUUGAUAUAAAAAGGGGCAAUAUUCUUAUUCUCUUUAAACACGCUAAACACCAUUUUCAUAAAUACAUUCCUACACAUAAACCUCUCUAACAACAAAGCUCUAUAUAAUCUUCAAUAAUAAUUUAUUUUCAUCAAACUUUGUCAUAAUACCAUUAAACUUCUCACAAUUUUUUACAUCAUCAUAAAUCCACCUCACUUACUCAUAAACAUAAUUUCAACUUCAUUCUUUCAUCAUGAACUCACUUCAUUACUCAUAAAACACCAAGUUGUCAUACCAUUUCCGACGACUUCGUGAAAGCUCGACCGUGCCAUUUUCGCGAUCUCGUGAAAGCUUCAGUCGCCACCACACUAUCAGCUAGUAUCUCUCCAUUCCCCUCUUUUAUUUUCUGUUUUUGUUCAUAUUUAUUUUUAAAUUCUAAAGCUGUUGUUUGAUUAUUAUUUGAAAACUUGUGAUAGUUUUUGUUAAGAGAGUAAGAAGGUGAAUUGGAGUGAGAUGGGAGAUAAAGUUAAGUGAGAGAGAAAACCUUUCAGUAUUUUGUUUUUUGUUACUAAAUUUUUAAUUUGGUUUUACUUGUUUCUAUUUUUACUAUUAUUGAUGCCAUCAAAUGUGAUAAUUUAUUACAGAAAAAGAUUUUCUCAAUAAAAUCUGAAGAAAAA
rnacentral:lncRNA from 1 species